rnacentral:rRNA from 1 species
AAAUUCUGGGUAGAAUUAUGAUAAUGACAUUGUCUAUUCAUAAGUCUUGACCAAAUUACGUGCCAGCAGUCGCGGUAACACGUAGCAGACGAGUGUUAUUCAUCUUUAAUAGGUUUAUGGGGUACUUAGACGGUAAAUCAAGCCUCAAAAAGGGACUAGUUUGCUAGAGUUUUAUGUGAGGAAGUAUUAAGGUACUGGUGGUGUAGAGAUGAAAUUCGAUGAUACCUUGAAUGGCACAGGUAUAGGCGAAAGCAUCUUCUUAUGUAAUAACUGACGUUAAAAGACGAAGGCUUUGUGUCUCGAACAGGAUUAGAUACCCUAGUAGUCAAAGCAGACAAUGAUGAAUGUCAUAGAUUGGAUUUAAAUUUAUUUAAUCUAUAAAUGAAAGUGUAAGCAUUCCACCUUAAGAGUAAUUUGGCAACAUUGGAACUGAAAUCAUUAGACCGUUUCUGAGACCAGUAGUGAAGUAUGUUGUUUAAUUUGAUGAUCCGCAAAAAACCUUACCACAACAUGAAUAGAUAAUCUUUAUUAUACAAGCGUUGCACGGCUGUCUUUA